rnacentral:rRNA from 1 species
GUNUUUUUGAGUUAUUUUUAAAGUNUGNCCUGCCCANUGAUUUUUUAAAUGGCCGCAGUAUUUUAACUGUGCAAAGGUAGCAUAAUCAUUAGUCUUUUAAUUGAAGGCUGGUAUGAAUGGUUGGACGAAGUAUAAGCUGUUUCAUGUAUAUUUAUAUUAGAAUUUUAUUUUUUAGUUAAAAAGCUAAAAUAAAGUUAAAAGACGAGAAGACCCUAUAAAUCUUUAUAUUUUUUGUAAUUUAAAUUUAUUGAAUUUUAUAUAUUUUUAAUGCAGUGAAGUAUUUUGUUGGGGUGAUAUUAAAAUUUAAUAAACUUUUAAUUGUGUUUAAUCAUUAAUUUAUGAAUUGUUGAUCCAUUAAUAAUGAUUAUAAGAUUA